GUGCUUAUACGAUUGUAAAAAAUUUAGCAAAAUGAAAUGUCAUGGAAGAAACCUCAAGUGACACAGCCAAGUGAAGAUUGAACUUGGGAAAAUAUUUAGAUCAAGAGAGAUCUGUUGCUGGCGAGUGGCUUGUACUGGUCAGGAACCUCAUAAUUUCGUCAGCAUCGAUUUCACAUUUUUUGCUCUGAACUCUACUAAAUCCUAUCAAAUAUGGAUGCAUACGCGGUGAAUGGAAACUGUGAUUUGUUUCCUGUUCCACUUU
rnacentral:misc_RNA from 1 species